AGUGAGCGUGCGUGAGUGUGGGUGCCCCGCGUCUUACACAACCACCUUGGUGUUAGUGCAGUCUCUCGGAAAGCUCGCUCUCCAGCUCCGUUGUCAUUUGCCUAGUGUUGGAGCAGCGGAUCCGCAGUCGCAGUCUUUCUCUGCCGCAACACUCUCAUAAUUUCGAAUGCAAUGCACUUUUAUUUUCAACAUUAGCAAAACAUAGAAACCUAAAACAUAUAGCAGUAAGAAGUAAUAUUUAUUCUAACUCGAAUCAAAUAGCAAGGUGUCCAUUAAAUGGGAAAAUGCAUACAUACACACGUACAUAUAUGUAUGUAUACUACUUGACCCUAGCCCAGUACACGUAGUGACAAGGCGCACGAGUGGAGCACUGGAACACUGGCGAAUACCAUUCAUCAGCGAAGAAAUUAAAAUCUUCUAUUGGAGUCCAAAAGAGGAGGGGUACCAAACUUGGCACUUAACCUACGAUACCCCAAAUUCAGAUUGCGGACACAUGUAGUGCCUGAAAUGGCAAUACUCAUUGGAUUUCUCAGCUUUCCGGAUUAAAAGCGGCUUCCCAGCAACUGCGAGUGACAGGUGUGGUGAGGGGAGCAGAGUGGGGGUGGCAGCGUGUUCAAAUAAAAAGUAAAUUAUUUUAUGAUGUGUAUGCAUUAUUGUAUAAAUAAACAGCGCUUUUUUUGUUUUCUUUAUAAACAACAGA